GGAAUCUUCCACAAUGGACGCAAGUCUGAUGGAGCAACGCCGCGUGAGUGAAGAAGGUUUUCGGACCGUAAAGCUCUGUUGUUGGUGAAGAAGGAUAGAGGUAGUAACUGGCCUUUAUUUGACGGUAAUCAACCAGAAAGUCACGGCUAACUACGUGCCAGCAGCCGCGGUAAUACGUAGGUGGCAAGCGUUGUCCGGAUUUAUUGGGCGUAAAGCGAGCGCAGGCGGAAGAAUAAGUCUGAUGUGAAAGCCCUCGGCUUAACCGAGGAAUUGCAUCGGAAACUGUUUUCUUGAGUGCAGAAGAGGAGAGUAGAACUCCAUGUGUAGCGGUGGAAUGCGUAGAUAUAUGGAAGAAUACCAGUGGCGAAGGCGGCUCUCUGGUCUGCAACUGACGCUGAGGCUCGAAAGCAUGGGUAGCGAACAGGAUUAGAUACCCUUGGUAGUCCAUGCCGUAAACGAUGAGUGCUAAGUGUUGGGAGGCUUCCGCCUCUCAGUGCUGCAGCUAACGCAUUAAGCACUCCGCCUGGGGGAGUACGACCGCAAGGUUGAAAC
rnacentral:rRNA from 1 species